rnacentral:rRNA from 1 species
UUAAAGAGUUCUAAAAAACUCCCAAACCCAUGUGAACUUACCUUUGUUGCCUCGGCAGGAUCGACCAACUCCGACAGAGCCUACCCUGUAGGUGACGUUGGGCUGGCCGGCCAAGUCUUGCCGGUGGACCAUCAAACUCUGUUUAUUAUACUGUUAUUUCUGAAAUCAAAACAAAUAAGUUAAAACUUUCAACAACGGAUCUCUUGGUUCUGGCAUCGAUGAAGAACGCAGCGAAAUGCGAUAAGUAAUGUGAAUUGCAGAAUUCAGUGAAUCAUCGAAUCUUUGAACGCACAUUGCGCCCAUUAGUAUUCUAGUGGGCAUGCCUGUUCGAGCGUCAUUUCAACCCUUAAGCCCUGUUGCUUAGUGUUGGGAGCCUACAGUUCACUGUAGCUCCUCAAAGUUAGUGGCAGAGUCGGCUCACGCUCUAGACGUAGUAAUCUUUUUCUCGGCUAUAGAUGAGUUGGCUUCUCGCCAUAAAACCCCCCCUAAAUCUAAAGGUUGACCUCGGAUCAGGUAGGAAUACCCGCUGAACUUAAGCAUAUCAAUAAGCGGAGGAAAAGAAACCAACAGGGAUUGCCCUAGUAACGGCGAGUGAAGCGGCAACAGCUCAAAUUUGAAAUCUGGCCCUCGUGGUCCGAGUUGUAAUUUGUAGAGGAUGUUUUUGGCGCGGUGCCUUCCGAGUUCCCUGGAACGGGACGCCUUAGAGGGUGAGAGCCCCGUACGGUUGGACACCAAGCCUCUGUAAAACUCCUUCGACGAGUCGAGUAGUUUGGGAAUGCUGCUCUAAAUGGGAGGUAAAUUUCUUCUAAAGCUAAAUAUUGGCCAGAGACCGAUAGCGCACAAGUAGAGUGAUCGAAAGAUGAAAAGCACUUUGAAAAGAGGGUUAAACAGCACGUGAAAUUGUUGAAAGGGAAGCGUUUGCGACCAGACCUUUUCCUUGGGGAUCAUCUAGUGUUCUCACUGGUGCACUUCCCUUGGUUUAGGCCAGCAUCGGUUUCGGCAGGGGGAUAAAAACUGGAGGAACGUAGCUCCCUCGGGAGUGUUAUAGCCUCUGGUAUAAUACCUUUGCGGGGACCGAGGACCGCGCUCGGCAA